GGCAGCAUGGAUGUGUGCCCCAACAGCACACUGGCAUGACAGCAAAGACUGUCAGUGAAGAACAUCGGUACAAACGAGCAACGUGUCAGAGCGAUGAAACCCAGGCAGCCCGAAGCAUCUGAGGUAAAGAAAGCUGGAGAACAGGGUGCAAAGGACAUCAGGUGUGUAUGAAAAAUCUGGAGUAUUUCCACUGCCAGCUCAGCCACAGCUGCAGAGAGCCCAGCUGAGGACGAUCAACAAUUAAGACCUGCUGGAUAAAGAGGAGAGCAGCAGCAGUCAGAGGAAGAGGGACCAUGGUGGCAGUGGGACAAAAUGAAGAGCACAGCUGCCUGUCUGUUCCUGUGUGUUCCUCCAGGAGGACUUCAUCCCCACAUCACAAGGGAAGCCCGACGUCACCCCAGAGAGAAGACUGGCCUUUGCAUCAGGCAUCAAAACUUCCAGCACUAAGUAAUUUUAGCAUAUUAUGGUCUUGUCUAGUACUUCUGUUUUCAUUUAUUUUAUUGUAGCGUAUAAUGCACAUAUUUUUAAAUAGAUUUUUUAAAUUGUGUAUAUAGAUUAGAGAGCUAAUUGUAAAUGUCUGUUUCUCCUGGGAAUCAAUAGGCAUUUAUGAUUCUAUUCCAACCAUAAAUUUUCUAUUUACCCAUGUAUUCUACCUACUUUGUACUUCAGUCAUCUACCAAAUAAAAUGUGAAAAUAU